AUGAGGCCACCGGCGGCUCUUGUGGUCGUAGCCGCCGUCCUUCUCGUGUUGUCUGGUGUCGAUGCGACCGUGGAAACAACUUGCAAGGCGGCGGCCGACGAGGACGCGCAUGUCAACUACGACUUCUGCGUGUCGGAGUUGAGAAAGCACUACCAGAGCUCCGACGCAGACACAUGGGGCCUGGCCAAGAUAGCAGCCAACAUGGGCGUCAACAACGCCUAUGGCGCCAUCCAUGACAUCGAGCGCCUACUAGCGAGGCCGGGCACGGAUGCCAAGACGAAGGUGGCCCUUGGGCAAUGCCAGGGGCUGUACGACAACAUGAAGUUUGCGUUUGCCGGAGCCUACGACGAGAUCAACGGUCGGAAUUACGCCGCAGGGAAGGAGGAGGUCGCAAAGGCCGUCUCCCUGGCGCACCAGUGCGACGAUGCCUUUGUUAAGGCCGCCGUCCCGUCGCCUCUCAAGCAACGUAGCCUCUACUCCGUGCAGACAGCGAUAGUCUGCAGGGCCAUCACUAACCUUAUCAAGUGA
rnacentral:rRNA from 1 species